rnacentral:rRNA from 1 species
CCAAUAGCGUAUAUUAAAGUUGUUGCAGUUAAAAAGCUCGUAGUUGAAUUUCGGGAUCAAUAUGUUGGUCGUGCCUUUGGUACGUACUGGCAUUAAUGGUUUCUCUCUUCUGAAGAACCUUGAUGUCAUUAAUUUGGUGUCUUGGGAAAUCAGGACUGUUACCUUGAAAAAAUUAGAGUGUUUAAAGCAGGCUCACGCUUGAAUACAUUAGCAUGGAAUAAUGAAAUAGGACGUUUGAUUCUAUUUUGUUGGUUUCUAGGAUCGACGUAAUGAUUAAUAGGGAUAGUUGGGGGCAUUAGUAUUCAAUUGUCAGAGGUGAAAUUCUUGGAUUUAUUGAAGACUAACUACUGCGAAAGCAUUUGCCAAGGAUGUUUUCAUUAAUCAAGAACGAAAGUUAGGGGAUCGAAGACGAUCAGAUACCGUCGUAGUCUUAACCAUAAACUAUGCCGACUAGGGAUCGGAUGAUGUUAAUUUUUUAAUGACUCAUUCGGCGCCUUACG